GAGAUUUCCUUUCAUAUCCCUUCUCUCCUUCCACAAAGAUAAUCACUCUUUCUCUCUGUCACCCAGAGAAGGGCUGAGCUCUUGAGUCCCUUUAUUUCACAGUUUUGCUUCUCCCUGCGUUACCAUGGUAACAUGGAUACCGUUCAGUCCCGUCUUCAGUGAGAGGCAGGCAGCCUUUGCAGGUGGCUGUGCUUUCAUGCAAAGAAUGCUACAAAUGCAGCUCCUUCCAAACAACUGACUCCCGCUUGCCUGCCUCUCCUUCAGUGGGUGUGUGAUCUUCAUUACUGGUGAUAUUAAAGUGGCUUUUGUUAAUGGCUUAGGAUAACUAGCUGGCUGGGGAAAUCCAUGUUCGUACACAGGUCCAGAAAAACUAUCCAGGGGACUGUUGUGUCGUCCACCAUACGCGCCCUCCUGGGUGGCUUGCAGCUUUCACUCUUUUUCCCUUUCUCCCCCUUUCUCUUUCUCUCUCUCUAUCCAGGGCCUAAACCCAAGUUCCACAUCACAACAGCCACGGCCCAGACCUUAGUCGUGUGCAGAGCUCCUGGAGGCUGGCUGGAGGAAGAGGACUUGAUGAAAGUGUAUGGUAGUGGUUUCCUUGAUGGAAUGGAGCACGGAUGCACACCAGCACCCCAAGUUUCACUACUGUUGACAUUGGAGAGAAGCUGAGCAGAGCGGGACCCACAGAAGCCCUCAGUGGCAUGCCACGCGGGGUGUUUUUGGGGAUGAAAGAGGGCCGACCCUCCGCCUUGUGUCUGAGCCUCCAUAUGUACAGGCUGUACAAUAAUCUAACCCAGGGCCGGCAGACAUACAAGCCCUAAUCCCCAGUAUAGCUGGAUGAUUUUAUGGCGUAUUUACGGGGCCUCAAAGAGGAAGACAGGGAUCUCAUCACAUAUGAUUCAAAUUAACUGUGCUACAGGCACGUCUAACCCGAAGAACACUGAUUCUCAGAAAACGGGCUGAGGGAAUGAGUCAGGCGGACCAGAAUCACUGAUCUGUUGUGUUUAUCUUGAGCGUGCCUCAUCUUGCAUGGUUGUGUUUGGAAUGUCGAACAAUAGGGUGUUCAAUGUGCCUCUGAGUGAUAAUAGGUGUAAUUCCAACACAGGGGUACAGGGCUGCUGAGGGAUCUACUGUAGAAGGGGUUGGGGCUGCCCACCCUGGCCCAGUGAGUGUGGGAGGUCACAGACACUCAAAGAGAGCUGCAGAUCAUGAUGACAUGAACUGUGCCUCUUGGCAGACUUCCAGCGUGCUGUGAUAACACAUACCCACUACAAAAACAAAUGGGGGCACAUGACAUCAUGGAGUCCUGUCAACAACCUCCCUCUCUGCCUGCCCUUUGCUGUGGCUCACUGCUCUAUACACGGUGUACACUAGGAGUAGUAACACGUACCGUGCUUCACCAAGACCUACCUAACCUUUUACUGCAGUGGGCUAAAUCAGGGUCACACAGAGUGAUUCUUAAUAGUCAAACAAAAGUACACAACUCACACAAAAGAACACACCUUUACCCUGUCAAAUAUAGAGUUGAAAUGUAUCCAAUUUUGAGUUUUAAUCCCAAUAUUACACUUUAUAACAUCACAGAAGACUGAAAUAUAACAAAACUGUUUGACAUAGAAACACCACAUUUUUGUUGGGGUUUUUGAAAUCAUUUUUAUAAAAAAUUCCACCCAUGAGUCCAAAGAGGGCGCUUUUGGUCAUUGACUGCAUUAAAGGGCUACUAAGGAAAUCCUCCAUAAAGCAAUAUGGGUUUAAAACAACUAAAAUAAUAUAAUCCUACAGUUUCAGAUUCCUGAUAUCAAAACGCGGAGGACACCAGCCAAUGAACUCAUGGACAGGAAUGAAAAACAAGCCUACUAUGCAAUACAGUCAUGUAUACGGGAGCUCUGUUAGAGAAAUGAUGAGCUCCUAAAGUCGUCCCUUCCUCCUGGUUCUCUCCUCAGGGCUCAGAGCAGCAGAGUGAAGAGACUCACGCACGGCCUGCUGGGUCAGCUGCCUGGCGCCUGGCACUCCUACCAGCUCCAAUAACCAUAAACACAUGUUUACGAUCUAUCCCCUCAAACCUUACAUUCCAUACACUUCAAAGCCAUAUCUUCUGAGAGGGACUUUGUCCCAAAUGGCAACAUAUUCCCUACAUAUUAUACUACUUUUGACUAGAGCCCUUGGAACCUGGUCAAAAAUAGUGCACUAUGUAGGGAAUAGAGUACCUUUUGGGAUGCAGAUAACCCAAACAGU
ensembl:lncRNA